UACGUAGGGUGCAAGCGUUAAUCGGAAUUACUGGGCGUAAAGCGUGCGCAGGCGGUUUUGUAAGUCAGAUGUGAAAUCCCCGGGCUUAACCUGGGAACUGCGUUUGAAACUACAAGGCUAGAGUGUGGCAGAGGGGGGUGGAAUUCCGACGUGUAGCAGUGAAAUGCGUAGAGAUGCGGAGGAACACCGAUGGCGAAGGCAGCCUUCUGGGCCAAUACUGACGCUCAUGCACGAAAGCGUGGGGAGCAAACAGG
rnacentral:rRNA from 1 species